UAGGUGGGAGGCUUUGAAGUGUGGACGCCAGUCUGCAUGGAGCCGACCUUGAAAUACCACCCUUUAAUGUUUGAUGUUCUAACGUGGACCCGUAAUCCGGGUUGCGGACAGUGUCUGGUGGGUAGUUUGACUGGGGCGGUCUCCUCCUAAAGAGUAACGGAGGAGCACGAAGGUUGGCUAAUCCUGGUCGGACAUCAGGAGGUUAGUGCAAUGGCAUAAGCCAGCUUGACUGCGAGCGUGACGGCGCGAGCAGGUGCGAAAGCAGGUCAUAGUGAUCCGGUGGUUCUGAAUGGAAGGGCCAUCGCUCAACGGAUAAAAGGUACUCCGGGGAUAACAGGCUGAUACCGCCCAAGAGUUCAUAUCGACGGCGGUGUUUGGCACCUCGAUGUCGGCUCAUCACAUCCUGGGGCUGAAGUAGGUCCCAAGGGUAUGGCUGUUCGCCAUUUAAAGUGGUACGCGAGCUGGGUUUAGAACGUCGUGAGACAGUUCGGUCCCUAUCUGCCGUGGGCGCUGGAGAACUGAGGGGGGCUGCUCCUAGUACGAGAGGACCGGAGUGGACGCAUCACUGGUGUUCGGGUUGUCAUGCCAAUGGCACUGCCCGGUAGCUAAAUGCGGAAGAGAUAAGUGCUGAAAGCAUCUAAGCACGAAACUUGCCCCGAGAUGAGUUCUCCCUGAGACUUAGAGUCUCCUGAAGGAACGUUGAAGACGACGACGUUGAUAGGCCGGGUGUGUAAGCGCAGCGAUGCGUUGAGCUAACCGGUACUAAUGAACCGUGAGGCUUAACCUUACA
rnacentral:rRNA from 1 species